CACUAUGCUCAGCCCUAAAAUUCGAUAGGUCACUACGCCCCCUAUCCGCCCGGGUACUACGAGCAUCAGCUUGAAACCCAAAGGACUUGGCGGUGCUUCACAUCCGUCUAGAGGAGCCUGUCCUGUAACCGAUAAUCCCCGUUAAACCUCACCCUCCCUUGUUAAUUCCGCCUAUAUACCGCCGUCGUCAGCCUACCCUGUGAAGGACUAAAAGUGAGCAAGAUUGGUAAGACCCAAAACGUCAGGUCGAGGUGUAGUAUAUGAGAGGGGAAGAGAUGGGCUACAUUUCCUAAAUCAGGAAAUACGAACAAUGAACUGAAAUAAGCAUUAGAAGGUGGAUUUAGCAGUAAGCAGAGAAGCAGAGUGUCCUGCUGAAGUUAAUGGCAAUAGAGCACGUACAUAUCGCCCGUCACUCUCCCCGAGCCUAACGUAUUUGAACGUACAUAAAAAGCCACAUCUGCAAAGGGGAGGCAAGUCGUAA
rnacentral:rRNA from 1 species